GACGAACGCUGGCGGCGUGCUUAACACAUGCAAGUCGAACGGAAAGGCCCUGCUUUUGUGGGGUGCUCGAGUGGCGAACGGGUGAGUAACACGUGAGUAACCUGCCCUUGACUUUGGGAUAACUUCAGGAAACUGGGGCUAAUACCAGAUAGGAGCUCCUGCUGCAUGGUGGGGGUUGGAAAGUUUCGGCGGUUGGGGAUGGACUCGCGGCUUAUCAGCUUGUUGGUGGGGUAGUGGCUUACCAAGGCUUUGACGGGUAGCCGGCCUGAGAGGGUGACCGGCCACAUUGGGACUGAGAUACGGCCCAGACUCCUACGGGAGGCAGCAGUGGGGAAUAUUGCACAAUGGGCGGAAGCCUGAUGCAGCCACGCCGCGUGCGGGAUGACGGCCUUCGGGUUGUAAACCGCUUUCGCCUGUGACGAAGCGUGAGUGACGGUAAUGGGUAAAGAAGCACCGGCUAACUACGUG
rnacentral:rRNA from 1 species